AGGGCAGGGUGCCAGGUAACGCCUGGGGGGGAAACCCACGACCAGUGCAACAGAGAGCAAACCGCCGAUGGCCCGCGCAAGCGGGAUCAGGUAAGGGUGAAAGGGUGCGGUAAGAGCGCACCGCGCGGCUGGUAACAGUCCGUGGCACGGUAAACUCCACCCGGAGCAAGGCCAAAUAGGGGUUCAUAAGGUACGGCCCGUACUGAACCCGGGUAGGCUGCUUGAGCCAGUGAGCGAUUGCUGGCCUAGAUGAAUGACUGUCCACGACAGAACCCGGCUUAUCGGUCAGUUUCACCU
rnacentral:RNase_P_RNA from 1 species